GCAACGUUGCAACAGAGUUACGUCGCCUGUUUAAGUUUGUAUUUAAGCUCGAUUUGGGGGAUUUUAAACGCCUUUUAAGAGAAAUUACACAAGAUAAAGUCAACCCGAAGAGUCUGAUGCUGCUGCUGCUGCUGUUGCUGAGUGUUGCGCCCGUUGUCUGAUGGCCACAAAGAGGAGGAACUUUCCUUAUCAUUUAAUCCACUAUCUUGGUGUUAUCAAAGUCUGAAAGUGUGCUGCUGAAACACCCCAAGGCAGUGUAAUGGCUGUGAAGCAUUCCUUAAACAAACAUUCUUUUAACACACACUGUAUAACAAACAGGAGGGGGAAAUGUGCUUAUACAACUACAUAUUAAAGGUAUUAUGAAAACAGUAUUUAUUACAUUAAUACAAAAAGUACAAAGGAAUACAUAAUGAAUGUGUGUGGGAAGUAGGUGUUUUUGUACCUUUAAUGCAUAGAGGUCUACUCAUACAGAAUGAAAACAUAAUGUGGAAUAUAUACUGUAUUUGAAUGGGUGGACUAUUAGAUAUCUUUGUUCACAUAAAGAGGGUGUUUAUGUGCUGUAAAUGCAAACAUGUCCACAAUGAAUUCAGAUAGUGUUAAGGGAUAUUUAUUAAGACAUUUCAGUGAUAUAACAUUGGAUGUCUUCAAUAGAGUUAAAAAAUACUCACGUCUUUGUAUCUGUCUUUUUUGUUUUACUACAUAUGUAUGUAUAUAUUUAUCACAUGAAUAAAACAGAAUAAGAAACAGUCCUGUUACAUCUACUACAUCGUUUUGUUCU